AAUCUUGUGAUGAAGAGAGGGAGAGAUACUAUCACUAUGAUCCAUACUUAAAUGAAGACCCUCAGGAACAGCUUUCUAAUGAGGAACCCAAAAGAGUCAGAUACACACUACUGUACCCACCUCAGUAUUCGCCAUCACUCUCUCCACAUCCACUGCCACAUCAACAUCGAUCUCAGCACUCCAUGUCCAUUUAUCCUACUGCUCCAGCCAAACCAACUUUGAAAUGCUCACUGCCGGCCAUCCAACAUUUACACUCCAAACAAUCCAAACAGUCCUCUAAACCGUUACAGGUCACCACUACUUAUACAGGUCCCCCUACCCAAAUGGAAAGAUGCCCCACACGUCCUCCCAUUCAACUUCAAGCUCCUUCUGUACAAAUGUCACUACUGAAAACUCAGGAUCUAUCCCCAUCUUCAUCUUCAUCAUCUAUCCAAGAUUUAGACUCGGACACAUGUCAAGAAUCACCAUUGAAUCUCCCAACACCUACCUCUGAUGUCAAUGAAAACCACCCUCCAUCUCCAUUUGAAGACUUUACCUCGUACUCCCAACUAGUUUUGAGAAUGGCCAAAUCCCUGCAACUCGAGAUCGAGGAACAGCCACCAUCCAAAACCGAUUUGAUUUUUGAUGACAUCAGUCAAGACAAAACGCCUCUACUCAGUCUUACUUUCAUCCCAGGCAUGUUAGAAUUGAUUAAAGAAUUUUGGGAUAAACCAUCAUCAUCAUCAUUACAUAUUUCUAGACGCACAGAAAAUAAUUACAAAACACACAGACCCGAUACCAGUUUCCUCACUAAACAUCCUACACUUAACUCAGUAAUAGUCGAAUCCAAUCAAUCCAGAGCUCGAAAUAAAUCCUCUGUUGCUCCCACCAACAGGGAAAGAAGAAACUUGGCAGAUGAGUCUACUCUCUUACUUCAUUCAUGCUAUGGGCGGUGAACUAUCCAGCGGCAAUGGGCGCUUACCAAAGACAGUUAUGGAAUAAGAUCCUCCCCAUACUGGACUCAGCUCCCAACUUGGUUAAAUCAGAGGCUAUCAACAUUCACAUGGAAGCUACUACACUGGCUAAAUAGCAGAGAA
rnacentral:lncRNA from 1 species